GGAGUUUGGACCGUGUCUCAGUUCCAAUGUGGGGGACCUUCCUCUCAGAACCCCUACUGAUCGAUGGCUUGGUGGGCCGUUACCCCGCCAACAACCUAAUCAGACGCAUCCCCAUCCUAUAGCGGUAAACCUUUGGUAUUCGUUAGAUGUCCGCAAAAUACAACAUAGAGCAUUAAUCCGACUUUCGCCGGGCUAUUCUCUACUAUAGGGAAGGUUGGAUACGCGUUACUCACCCGUGCGCCGGUCGCCAUCAAAGUUUGCAAGCAAACUUCAUGAUGCCCCUCGACUUGCAUGUGUUAAGCCUGUAGCUAGCGUUCAUC
rnacentral:rRNA from 1 species